rnacentral:tRNA from 1 species
GGACUGUUAGCUCAAUAGGCAGAGCAGGUGGCUCAUAACCGCCUUGUUGUAGGUUCGAGCCCUACACAGUCCA